UACGGGGGGAGCAAGCGUUGUUCAGAUUUACUGGGCGUAAAGGGCGCGUAGGCGGCCAGCGCAAGUCAGUUGUGAAAUCUCCGAGCUUAACUCGGAACUGUCAGCUGAUACUGAUGUGCUAGAGUGCGGAAGGGGCAAUCGGAAUUCUUGGUGUAGCGGUGAAAUGCGUAGAUAUCAAGAGGAACACCUGAGGUGAAGACGGGUUGCUGGGCCGACACUGACGCUGAGUGCGCGAAAGCCAGGGGAGCAAACGGG
rnacentral:rRNA from 1 species